UUUAGUUUAGCACAAAUAGCAUUAGUAUAGCGCAAGUUUAUUACUUUCUAUUUUGUUUUUUUUUUUUUGGAUAAGAAAGUGAUUGAUAGUGAGAGAAAGAAAGAUAGUGCAUAAGCUACUGGUUUUUAUGUUUUUUGAGAAAGAAAAGAAUAGUAAGAGAAAGAUAGAUAAAAAAAGUAAGAAAUGGAAAUAGUAUGUCGUCAUAUUAUAUAGUAUGCGGUGUUCGUGAAGAAAAAAGAUGAUAUUCUAAAAGUAAUGAUCUUUAAGAACUGGAUUCAAGGAUUGGAGAAUAAAUUUUAAACAUUAGAGCAAAACUAGAAAAAACUACCUUUAAGUGGUCUACAAUGUAUAAAUCCGAAGUAUAUCGUAUAAUGGAACGUCGUAGGAUGUUAUGUUCCUGAAGAUUCACAUUUCGAAAUAGUUGUCAAAAAUAUUACACAAUACUAUACAAUAGUAGUAAAAUGAUUAUUUUUUCCAAGAAUUUACGUCACGUUUGAAUCGAUGUGCAUAAAACUCUAGCAGCAAUAAAUGAAGGAUGCUAAUAUUGAUGCACAAAAUAUUAUAUUAUGAAACAUCAGGUCCGCUUAAACGAAUUAUUCGUGAGAGAGAACGUCUAUAGAUGGAUACAUGUCGUGAGAAGUUUGCAACUGCUACUCUGAGAAUAAAGAGACAAGAAGAGAGACUACAUUGAUUUUUGUCAACUUGUACACCAACAACAAAUAAUCUAUAUGGUGACGAUUUGGAUAUGUACUUAUUACAAGCUCAAUGGACCAUCAAUAAUGUGGAAAAUGGUGUAAUAGAGUGAACGUCGUAAAAAAUUAACUACUCAUUCUUCGACAAUUUUUGAUGAGAUAAUGGAACUGCACUUGUGGAUCUACAAUUCUGAUGAUUAGAAAAAAAGGUGCUAGAUUCUCCAUGCGAAUUCAUCAUCAUCACUAGCUUGGCGUAAGGAACGCAAUUAAACGCUCUCUCGUACUUACUCUCUUUACAAUACAA